rnacentral:rRNA from 1 species
UACGAAGGGGGCUAGCGUUGUUCGGAAUUACUGGGCGUAAAGCGCGCGCAGGCGGCUAUCCAAGUCAGUGGUGAAAGCCCGGAGCUCAACUCCGGAACUGCCAUUGAAACUGUUUAGCUUGAGGACGAGAGAGGUGAGUGGAAUUCCCAGUGUAGAGGUGAAAUUCGUAGAUAUUAGGGAAGAACACCAGUGGCGAAGGCGGCUCACUGGCCCGAUACUGACGCUGAGGUGCGAAAGCGUGGGGAGCAAGCAGG